AAUAAGAUUGCGUGUUCUAGUAUAUAACUGAAUAUCAUGCUCUGAUUGUUUGCUUAUGCUUUUUUUUUUUUUCUUCAAGGGGUCAGCCAACAAGGCUUUCCCCAUUUGUUUUCAGGUUUUAGCAAUCCAGAAAAGUCACCCAUAAGCAGCAUCCUUGCAAUGGGACCGUCGGCUGCAGUGAGAAUAACGCCUGUUCCAGAGGAAGGCACUGGGAACAGAAGACACCCUGUACUAGUACAUUAAACAUACAGAAAAUUCUCCCAUUCAGGUGAUCACAUACAACCUUUUGCAACCGAUACAAGUUAAGAAAGGGAGAACUCCAAGUGCAGAUCAUCUAACCCUCAAUAAUCCCAGACAUUGGUUAUUUAUUGGAAGCAGUUCCCUCUGAAAACUGAAAUGCUAGGAAUUACGGUGGAUUGGUAACAAAAAAUGAAGCACUCACCAAAGAGAGGCAAGUGAAGAUUUCUGGAUUUUGCUGAGACACAAUAAGAUAGAAGUGCACAAAAGGCUUCUUACAAGCUCUGAUCACUCAACAGCUGAGAACUGAGAUGUCACCUAAUCUAAGGAACAGCUUCUUGCUUGGGAAAUUGAUUACUCUGGUCCAUGCUGUUCAGGGCUGGAGCUCAAGCCAGUCAGAAGCGCACACUGUACCAGCAUCAACUGCAGCCUGAUCAUUUUCAUCUGGCCACGUGGGACAGUAAAUGGCCAUUCUCUCCUGCCUUGUGCGCUCACCAGGUAUCUGGUGGUGAUUGGCAGAACACCUUAGGGCUCUUUGGUAUGUGACCACAAAUAAUUUUGUCGUUUUUACUUGAUAACUUUAUUCCUACUGUUG
rnacentral:lncRNA from 1 species